rnacentral:misc_RNA from 1 species
AAGCCACACAGACCAGACGGCC